rnacentral:lncRNA from 1 species
GUGACAUCUUUAUUCUUUCUGAUUAUAUUAUUGGGAAUAUUUACAAUUUAUCAUGGCAAUGUGGUAUUAACUAAUCGGACUACAAAUGAGAGGUAUAAAGCUGCAGAAUUGGACCCAAUCAAAAUUGACUCAAAUAGACUCUCGAGCAAUAAAUCUAAGUUGCAAGCAGGCAGGAAGUUAAACAAGAAUGUCAAAACAGUUGAGAAUUUAUAUGAUAAAGGAAUAAUAGGGAAUAUAUAUGACACAUUUUGGCACAGAAGUAUAGUGAAGAAAAUAAAAUUUAGAUAAAGUACAAUAUAAUGAUUUAAUGUUUUGCCUGAUAUACAGUCAAACAUGUAUAUGAAGGUCAGGAAUAUUGGGACCACAGAAAACUGACCAUAUUAGAGAGGUAACCAUUUUAAUAAG